rnacentral:tRNA from 1 species
GGAGAGGUGGCCGAGUGGUCGAAGGCGCUCCCCUGCUAAGGGAGUAGGCGGCAAAACCGCCUCGAGGGUUCGAAUCCCUUCCUCUCCGCCA